GUUUUAAUAAUUUAAGAAAAAUAUUGAUCUUGUAAAUCAAAAAUAAACAACAAUUUUUAAAACA
rnacentral:tRNA from 1 species